UACGUAGGGUGCAAGCGUUAAUCGGAAUUACUGGGCGUAAAGCGUGCGCAGGCGGUUAUGUAAGACAGGUGUGAAAUCCCCGGGCUUAACCUGGGAACUGCAUUUGUGACUGCAUAGCUAGAGUACGGUAGAGGGGGAUGGAAUUCCACGUGUAGCAGUGAAAUGCGUAGAGAUGUGGAGGAAUACCGAUGGCGAAGGCAGCCCCCUGGGUCGAUACUGACGCUCAUGCACGAAAGCGUGGGGAGCAAACAGG
rnacentral:rRNA from 1 species